GACGAACGCUGGCGGCGUGCUUAACACAUGCACGUCGUACGAUGUGGCGAACGGGUGAGUAAUACGUGAGUAACUUGCCCUCCUUUAUGGCAUAAGCCUUGGACACGGGGUCUACUACCGGAUAAAGGGGGAUGGGCUCGCGGCCUAUCAGCUGGUUGGUGGGGUGAUGGCCUUCCAAGGCGUUGACGGGUAGCCGUCCUGAGUGUGUGGCAAGCCACAUAGGGACUGGGAUACGGCCCAGGCUCCGACGGGAGGCAGCAGUUGGGGGUAUUGCACAAUGGGCGAAAGCAUGAGGCAGCGACGACGCGUGGGGGAUGAAGGCUUUCGGGUUGUAAACAUCUUUCGCUAUCGAACGGGUAGGUGGAGAAGAAGCGCCGGCUAACUACGGACCAGCAGCCGCGGUAAUUC
rnacentral:rRNA from 1 species